rnacentral:rRNA from 1 species
GGGAGGAAAAGAAACUAACAAGGAUUUUCUUAGUAGCGGCGAGCGAAAAGAAAAUAGUUCAGCACUAAGUCACUUUGUCUUUAUGGCAAAUGUGAGAUGCAGUGUAUGGAAUGUCAAAUUUCUAAUAUGAGAAAUUAACGAUUUAAGUCCUUCUUAAAUGAGGCCAUUUACCCAAAGAGGGUGCCAGGCCCGUAUAACGUUAAUGAUUAUUAGAUGGCAUUUCCAAAGAGUCGUGUUGCUUGAUAGUGCAGCACUAAGUGGGUGGUAAACUCCAUCUAAAACUAAAUAUAACCAUGAGACCGAUAGUAAACAAGUACCGUGAGGGAAAGUUGAAAAGAACUCUGAAUAGAGAGUUAAAUAGUACGUGAAACUGCUUAGAGGUUAAGCCCGAUGAACCUGAAUAUCCAUUAUGGAAAAUUCAUCAUUAUGAUUUUAAUAUUUAUAAUAUUAUAAUAAUGGUGUGCAUUUUUUCUAUAAAGGACAUUGUAAUCUAUUAAUAUAAAUUAAUUUAUCAUAAGAUCAUUUGCGUAAGUUUAUUCAAAUUAUUUUGCUUGCAUUUUAAUAUCGAAUAAAUGCUUUUGAUUUGAUAAAGUGUUGAUAGAUUUAUUAUAUACAGUGCUUAAAUAUUUAUAUUUUAUAAUAGCAUAUUAAUCAAUGAUUUUUAUGUUCAUUAUAUGCACUUGUAUGAUUAACAAUGCGAAAGAUUCAGGAUACCUUCGGGACCCGUCUUGAAACACGGACCAAGGAGUCUAACAUAUUUGCAAGUUAUUGGGAAUAAAAACCUAAUAGCGAAAUUAACAUAACUUUAUUUAAUGGGAUUAGUUUUUAGCCUAUUUAUAGUCUAUUAAUUCAAUCCCGGGGCGUUCUAUACAGUUAUGUAUAAUAAUAUUUAUAUUAUUUAUACCUCUAACUAGAGCGUACCUUGAGCAUAUAUGCUGUGACCCGAAAGAUGGUGAACUAUACUUGAUCAGGUUGAAGUCAGGGGAAACCCUGAUGGAAGACCGAAACAG